CGUUGUUCAACACCCGCCUAUGAAUGAGUACAUGCAGUGUUUGAUUUUCUGUUCUUGUGUCAUUUUGCUGAGUACGAUGGUUCCCAGAUUCAUCCAUGUACCUUUACUAUUAAUCUUGAUGUGGCUUUAUAUUGAAAAUUGGUUUUAAUUUUUCUUUUUUUUAGUUGACAUUCUGUUGGGUUCUUCUUUUCAAUCCACUCUGACAGUCUCUUUUAAUUGGUGUAUUUCAAUUAUUGAUGUUUUACAUGAUUAUUGAUAUAAUUUGGAUAAUAUCCAUAACACUUUUUACUGCUUUCUAUUCAUUGUCCUUCUUUCUUUUGAUUUUCAUCAUUCUUCCAUUUAUAUUCUGCAUUCUCAGUCUUUUUUUUUUUUUUUUUUAGAUGGAGUUUCGCUCUUGUUACCCAGGCUGGAGCGCAAUGGCACGAUCUCGGCUCACUGCGAUCUCGGCUCCCUGCAACCUCUGCCUCCUGGGUUCACGCAAUUCUCCUGCCUCAGCCUCCCAAGUAGCCAGGAUUACAGGUUUUACAGGAAGCAUGAUGCUGGCAUCUGCUCAGCGUUUAGGGAGACCCCUGGAAGCUUUGGCUCAUGGUGGAAGAUGAAGCAGGAGCAGACACUUCACAUGGUGAUAACAGGUGCACGGUGGGUGCAGGGUGUCACACUUUACAACAACCAGAUCAUGCAACUCAUAAUUUCCAAGACAGUACCAAGCCCUGAGAGAUCUGGCCCCAUGAUCCAGUCACUUCCAACAUGGCCCCACCUUCAAUAGUGGGGAUUACAUUUCAACUUGAGAUUUCAGUGGAGACAAAUAUCCAGACUAUAUCAGUUGAUUUUGGUUGCUAAGUACAAUUAUACAAUCCCACCAUCAUAAGAAAAAUCUAGCGCUUCUCCCAAACUUGUCUUUAUUGCUUUGCUGACACUCAUGAACUUGCCCAUACACAUUUCUGUUGUGUUGAAACUUGCCCAUUUGCUUCACAAUCCAUGAUGGCUCAAGAUAGCAUCUAGUUAUCUUUAUGAACUUUAAAAAACAUUAAGACUUUAUUUUUGGAGCAGUUUUAGUUGCUCAGCAAAAUUGUGUGGAAAGUGCAAAGUACUCACACACACUCUAGCUACCAGCAAGCAGAGCCUCCCUCCCUGGCAUCAACAUCUUGCACCAGAAUGCUACAUUUGUUAAAAUCAAUGAAUCAAUAUUGACCCAUCAUUAUCAACCAAAGUACAUUUCAUUCUUUGUAUUAUACAUUUUAUAAUGUACAAAUGUAAAUAACAUCUAUGCCACCAUGACAGUAUUAUACAAAAUAUAUCAUCUUCCUCCAAAAGUCCCCUGGGCUCCACCUGUUCAUCUUUCUCUCCUCUGAUACCCCUUUUCACAGUCCCCACAAGUUUUGUGUAGGGUGUCAAGUCUGUGUAUAGAUUAAAUUUUUCAUGUGUAUAUCCACUGGUUCCAGAACCAUUUGUUGAAAUAUACCAUCUUUGCUCCAUUGUACUUUGCUUCUUUGUCAAAAUCUGUUUACAAUAUUUAUGUAAGUCUAUUUUUGGUUCUUUAUUCUGUUGUGCUGAUCUAUAUGUCUGUUCUAUGCCCAAAAGCACACUGCAUUAAUUACUAUAGCUUUACUGUAGUUCUUGAAAUUAAGUAGUGCCAGUCCUCCAACUUUCCUCUUUUCCUUCAAUAUUGUGUUAGCUAUUCUAGGUUUUUUGCUUCUAUGUAUACACUUUGGGAUCAGUUUAUUGAUAACCACAAAAUAACUUUCUGUGAUGUUGAUUGAAAUUGCAAUGAAUUUGUGGAUCCGAUUGAGAAAAACUGACGUCUUGAAAAUAUUGAGUCUUCUUCUUAUUGUUUGUUUGUAGAUGUUCUUUGCCAGUUGGAG
ensembl:lncRNA